CUGGCUGCCGCUGCUCCCGCCUCGCGCCCUUCCCUCAGGAGCGGAGCGGCCCUAAUCGCUGGCCGGGGUAAGGGGAGUCCUCAGCAGUUAGCCGAAACAAGUUUGCUGAGCGUUAUUCUUGGGGGACAGACUCUAGGAAACCAUGAGUGUCCUACCACUGGAGCAGGGCAAGGAGACUCAGCUGGAUGAGAAAUGGAGGCUUUCAAGACCAGGCAAGAGCUGCAUCUGCUGUCAAAGGCUCUAAUUCCACUUCAGUUAUCUAAAAACCAUCUCAGAACAUCUGCCAGUAAGCACCUGCCAGUCCCAAAUACUGCAAAUUAUCAUGCCAUGUUCCUAGAAAAAAACGUGAUGCUUCUGUCACAUGUAUCUCACUAAGCCCUGAAAGAAGUUCAAGUGGAGAGUCUAAGGAAGUGAGAAUCUGCAAUGAAAAAUUCUUUGUAUAUGAGGUUAUAUCAACUACUUGAACUUUCUGCUAUAUCAGAAGGGAAGUAAAAUACAAUAUAUUAAGUUGAAACCAGGAUAUCGAAGAAGACAGAUGACUCUGGGUCAUACUCCAGCAUUAAUUUCUGAUGUUUCCUUGGGCAAAGGGCACAGCAGCUGUCUCCCUGACACAGUGCCAAUGUUUUCAUGACAUAUCCAACUGCACUCAAGAUAAGAUUUAUCCAAGAGCAGUUUCUUCGUACCACAGGGAUUUUUGGCACAGACAGUAUCUGAAACAGAUCCUGAACAAGGUGAAAUUUUGGUGAAUCCUGCAGCUGUUCCCACUGUUUCAUCCUUGGUGUCCAGAUUGCCAUCACUAACCUUAACACAACAACAACCAGCUGCUUAUACUUCUGUUCCUGGGAAGACUCUGUUCUUACAAAUGUAAGCAAGGCUGAUGACAGCCACUGGUCGUUGCUAAGACCAGUUGAUUCCAGAAGCAGAUGAGUCAAUGUUCCAUAUCAGGGACAUCCUUUAGAUUCUACCAUUUAUCUACACCAAAUCAUGUUAAUUCCUAUCUGUAUAUCUUUAUGUAAAAGUCACUCUCUGGGUCAACAUGAAAACCAAACUGAAGAGAACUUCUGAGUAGAACACAAGUCACUACCUGAGAAGACCAUGAUGCUAAAAGCUCUAGAAACUCCCCACAUCUCCUACUAUUGACCAGAACCCAGCAUGAAGCCAGCUCACACAACACCUAACAACUUAGUAUUUACAACAAACUAAAACAGGUUCUGCUUAUAGAAAGGAAAAUGUACAUAGAAUUUGUUAAUUCACUGUUUAAAAAAUAGAGUUAUUUUUUCAGAUCUGACUCCAUUGUAAAAAAUCAAAGUUCAGCCUUCUCUCUCACCUGUUGUGCACCUAAUUAUAUGAAUAUUCCUCUGCAAAGAAAUUUAGAAGAACAUUUAACCCUACUGCUUUUGUAAUGGGCUUAAAUAGUAACUGAAACUUGGUAAUUUCCUCAGCAGGUUUCCCCACAUUUUAAGGAAUAACUCUGUCAAGGAUAAUCUAACAACACAACUAAGGGUAAAGGAUGAUAUUUCCUUUGCAAAGAACAGGAAAAUGCUAUGGAAAUACUGAAUGUUUUUAGAAACAGAAACUCAGAUAGCAUCAUUUAUAUUGGUUAUCUAGAGAGAAACUGAAAACUCAGGCUUCAAAUUGUGCCUGUCUAGACUCAAUGUAUAUUAGUCUUCUGAGCCACUUAACAGCUGCUUCACUGUGAAAGUGGUAAUUAAAUAACCACAGCAGAAAUACAAAUGACCAACAACACAGCGAGCUUGGCAGAUCAGACAUCUCAGGUCACCCUGAUUGCUUCUAACUGGAUGCACGUCCCUGUGCAAAGCCAAAGUCCGUAACUGCUGUGGAAAAUGAGCAUAGGUUAGAAUACAUAAUCCCUGUGAGCUGGGUAAGGAAGAUCUGAGACACCAAAUUGCAAAUAUUCUGCAUGAAGGACCCCCACUGUUUCUGCUAGUCUCAGCUCACCACACCCUGUGCACCUCCUAGAUGUGCAGGAGUAGCUACUGAAAUCGUGACCCAUCAGCCCAGUUCAGCACACAAUUGUGAAAAUGGCUCUACUACUGCAAGUCCUGAGCUAAACAGUUCUUUUGUUCUGGAAAAAACAUCUCUCUGUUUGAAAUAGCAGGUCUGGACUAUACUAUAAAUAUAUAACACAAUUUGGAACAGUAGAGCUUGUCAGGUACAGGGGCCUGUUAUUUCAACUCCUCAAAAAAAAUGGAAGUACAGCUUUUGCAGGAUGUAUACCUGUAUUAGAUGUGGUAAAUAAAAGGUGUUCCCAAAAAAGAGUUGGGAAAACUUGCUCAAUGUGGUUGUGAAAUAUAUUUGCACAGUGGCUUUUAUUAUGUUCCUGUGACCUCUAUUAUUUACCUUAGAUUCACAAAAUAAAGGAACUGGGACAUCAGAAAGCAUUGUGGUAAGAUGGAGGAGCAGCAGUAACAGCUAAAUGAGCAGCUCUGGAAUCAUUCAUAUCUGAUUGAAAUAUUGUGUUAGCAACUAUUUAGAAACAACUGUUUCUAAACCAUUUCAGGAAUAGCGUUUGAAAUAGCUUUUUAAAACAGUAUUCUUAGAAUGACAGACAAAUAUUCCUCUUGACAGCUCCAGCUGUGUAUUUUUGUCUUUAGGUUACACUGUCCCCAGGUUCUUUCAACAGCACCCAGACAGAAACUGAACAAGUCAAUAUGUCCCUUUCAAACAGUGCUAUGAAUCUGUUAAUCUUUGUGGUUAGAACCAAGUACACGGCUAGAACAGAUGUCUCAGUGCAUUCUGGCUACUUAAAUAUAACCAUUCUGUCCAUCUUCAGUCUGCACCUCCACUCAUAUUGUGGGAAACUGCAUGCAAAUACUCACAGAUAUCAGAAAGCAGAUCCCAGCACUCCAUAAAUGAGCACAGAGUGAUUCUGGAUGCUUGACAGUUCUGUUGCGGUUGGGAAAGAUUCAAAUACAACUCAUAUCUUCGCAGCCGUUUCGGAAAGAGGCAUUCCUUAGGGAUGCCUCUGAUGAAGCUAAUGGUGUAUGCUGCAAUACCAGC